rnacentral:lncRNA from 1 species
GGGCCGGUCCAUUUCUCCCCUUUUUUUUUCUUCUAGCCUUUUCUUUUCUGUUUUUCUUAUUUCUUUGAUAACUUUUGAUUUUGAACUCCAAAUUGGUCCAAAUAAAUUUCAGAAAAAUUGUAAAAUCAUGUUCUAUCAUGAUACUACUUUUGGGAGUGAUUUCCCUUCAAAAUGAAAUACUCAAAAAUACAUUUGCCCUAUAAAUGCCUAUAGGGCUAUAUAACUAUUUAAAGAAAAUACUUUUUCAACUCCAAAUGAUUUUCCAAAAAUUAUGGGAUAGCCUAUAUAUGCAAUAAACCCCUUUUAUAAAUAAACCCUAUUGAAGAUCCAAAGUUCAAAUGGGUGUGAACCCUAGGGUUUAAAUUGAAACAAAGUCUUUAAAAGCCUUUUGAGAUUCAAAUUUGAAUUCAGACAUGCAAUUGUGGCAUGAUGCUUAUGGAUGCAAUGCAUAUGAAAGGUUUUGAAUUUUUGGGAUGUUACAGACCUAACCCCCUUAAGAUGAAUCUCGUCCUCGAGAUUCUGUGUGGCUAGCAAAGAGGCGUGGGUGGUCUUCUCGAAUAUCAUCUUCGCGUUCCCAAGUGGCUUCCUUUUCUGUGUGAUGAUCCCACUGAACCUUGCAGAACUUGAUAGUCUUGGAUCGGGUUUGUCUCUCAGCUGUAUCCAAGAUGCUGAUAGGUUUCUCCUCAUAUGUGAGGUCACUUUGCAGUUGGACUUCCUUGAGUGGAAUUGUAUCUCUUAGGGGUGUGUCGGCCAUCUCGGGGUGACACUUCUUUAGCUGUGAUACGUGGAAGACGUUGUGGACAUUGGACAGAGCUUCUGGUAAAUCCAACUUGUAAGCCACUUCUCCUUAAUUGCUUUUGCUUUUGUAUUUGCUUUUGGUUCUUUAAUUGGAGUUUUGAUUUGGAGUUCU